AUCAUCCUUAGUUUGCAUCUCACCGUCGAAGUCAACCACCAAAAUUGAAGUGAGAAAACCUCGCGAAGAUGUAUCGAUGGCCACCGCAAUCGAGAAGCAUUAACGUGCGCAUCAUGGGCGUGCCCUCGCGCUGUCCACCUCAUCACAGGUAGGACAAGAAAACCGGAUCUGGCUAGCGAACGGGUUGGGCAGGACCGCAAAAGCGUCUCGUUUUCUGUCUCAUAUUGAUUGAAAAGACCAUUCUUUGUGUGUCGCGGCGAGAUAACACCUCCCCUAGGACGAUUUGCCUUCUCCACGAAGGAAAACCUCGCCUCUUCCCCUCGGCGCAACCACACCCUCCUGUUCUCCGCCGCCUCGCCGCCCCUUCCCUCCCCCCUCAUCCCUGCUUCAGGGUGAAGCAACACGGCGAAUCUCCCCAAGCUGCACGCUGUCUGACGCCUCCGCCCGCGACACCAGGUCCCGCUGCCCCUCCAGUCCCAGCACAUGGUCGCGCCAGCCCCGCCCCACGACGUCGUCUGCGUCGAUCUGAAGCCCGCACACGAUGGGAACAAGGUGGGGAUGGAGAUGCGGGUCCUUUUCUUUCGAUCACCCGUUGAAGAUUUUGAAGCUUUCUGUCCAUGUCGAGGAUUUUUGCCCCAGAGCUUAUGGGACUUUCAAGAUAUAGAGAAAUCAAAUGGUAAAAACAGGAAUGCCCACUACAUCCUGUUCAGAAGGUUGCAUAAAAGUUCCAACUGCGUAAAGAUCUAAUAUCCACCCUCCUUCAUAUUAUUUUCUUCUAUGAUAUAUUCAGUAUUUAAGAAGGGCGAUUGAUACGCUUUGGUGUACAUGAUGGUAUGAUCCUUUUUUUAUUGAUUUCUUAUAUGCCAUCAAGACUUGUUUCACUUAUAUUUCCGCUUUGUUUAGACCAUACUUCGUUCUGUAGCGAUAGAAGAUCAUUUAUUAUACUAAUGUACUAGCAUAUGAACCAUCCUUAGCUGACUCGUUUUCCCAAAUGCUUUGCCGGUGUCCACUUUAACAUUAUCUCUAGAGUGUUUACUUAAUUACAAAUUGUGUGAAUAGCUGAUUUUAGCAUGAACAUGCAGUAUGCAAAAUCUGAAUUUUCCAUCAUAUCCCAUGGUCAGGGUUCUCUACUAGACAACAGAAAAUAUGAGGGACAUAUUUUUUUUCAAGGAUAUAAAUCACACCUGUUGUGUGCAUAUCUGGUGAGGCAAAUUUCUGAGAGGAGAAAUAUGGAAAACAAAUGUUCAUGUAUGUUUUGUCGUUUGGAACAAUUAUAACUUGUUUUGGUUCUUUAUAGGUUGCUGAUGUAUGGUCAAAUUCCUGAAGUUGCAACUGCACCAUUACACUAUGUUAAAUAAUUUUUGAUUGACUACUACUGUUUACUUGAUGUUUGGUUCAGAAAAUAGGAUCUAGCUUCAGUUAAGUUAACCAUCAGUUUGUUUCAGGCUUCAGGUUAUGGGGUGGUGCUGGUGCUGGUCGACGAGCUCACUACCGGCCAUGCACGCCUUGAGGUCACGGUCUGAAAGAUCUUUUCCUCCGCUGUUCAGAUUAUUGCUAACAAUGUUGAUAUUAGGAGGCAACAUAAAUUUGCUUCAGUUUGAAAUAUGUUUGCUUUUUCUGUAUAUUUGGUGUAAUAUAGUAUGUGUAUAUAACUUGGAGAUACCAACAAUUUAAUUUCACAUCUAUAUAAAAAUGUGAGAUUGUUUUUAAAUAUGAAACAAUUUUUUUUCGAAAAGUCUGGCUUAAAUGAGUCAAAGAUCCAUUUGGAGAUUUCUGUGAAUAUUGCCAUUUGCAGAGAAUUUAUCAGGUGCAGCUUGCUACCGGAGAGCUAUUCCAAAGGAAGCAGUAAAGUUCAGAGAAGGGAAACAUACAUACCUUCAGAUUUGCACAACUGUCUGCAACUGCAUAGAGCGAUUCGUCAGUGAUGAAUGUCCCACCAAUGUUCAGGUGUUGCAGAGAACGAGCCCUUGAAACCUGAAGGACUUUGUGAAGUGCCGUACAACAAGACCCUGGAUUGGUCUAAAUGGUACAUAUUCUGGUCUGAUUAACGUGCUGUAGCAAAGAACCACGCAGAUAGUAAUAAGUUAACAAAAGAAGGAUUUCUGUCAAAGGUAUGUGGACUUUAGAAGGAAAUCCGCAGUACAAUCUAGAACAAAACCACAGAGGAUUUCAAUGGUUUUUUCCCUCAAGAUUUUACUUGUUUUACAUAUAUUAGUUUUGGGUAUUUGUUACUUCAGUUUCAUUUUACAUUGCACUCAUGAGAUGAUAGUUAUACCUUGCAUGAGAUCCAUGAUACACACACACACACACACACAUCAAAUUUGAGAACAUGUAUUCUGGUAUGUCAUCAAUUGUUGUGCUCAUAAUUAAUUAUAUUUUCCAUUCCUUCAUUUGUGCCCUCUAAACACUUGUCAUUCUUGUGGCAGGUUCGAGAGUACCGAGGAUAUACCAUCAUUUUGAAAAUUCGAAUUUGGCUAAUCCAUGUGUACUGGACCUGCUUUUGAAGCCAUCCUGUCUCCUUUUUGUGAAGGUUGGGUUGUGCGGUUGAUUGAGUUUUGUGGGUGACCUGGUCAGGAGAAGGAAGGUGCAUCAAUUUUGCUUUUCUCAAUUCUCCCUUUUGGAUUGAGUUGUAGCUAGCUUCCAAGGAAGUUCAUUUACUUGAUAAGAAAGGUUAGCUUGAAAUUGUGAUCAUUGGUAGUUCAGAAAAUGUGGCAGAUCUUUUCUUCAGGUUAUGCGCUUUGCAUGGUCGUCUAUCUGUUGUGGCGUCUACAUUCUAACUUCUGAGCAAAGCUAUAUUUUUGCAUUAUGGCUACUUCUCUUUCAUAAAGGAAUGUCACUUUAUUCAUGCUUGAUAUGCAUUCAUAAGAAACGGCACCAGACCCAUGAGCUUUACCGCCAUUGAUAAAUGGUGCCAUUUAUUGAUGUUGAUGUGGGCACACAAGCCUGACCAAAAUGAGCAGAAAAGGGGCGCCACACAACGUGGCACCGCCCAUUGCUCCCCUCAGGUGGUGCCACAUGUUUUGGCCGAGUCACAAUUGAUGUAUGUCUUCCUCCUGACUUGCCCUUGCUUUCUGAAAUCUGAUUAUUACAUCAAACAUGCACCUGAGUUUGAAUUAUGAUGAUCACAUGCUACUAUCACGAGACAAUGCAAAUAUCUUUCUCAAAGAAAAAAAGUAUUUUUUCUUUAUCCGCGAUAUGAUCUUUUUCACAUGCAAGCAUUGUAUAGCCGACUAGGUUUGUGAUUGAAUCUUUUCUUUGUAGUGGUAACAAUUUAUUGCAGAUAACCUAGAUUUAAUCUACCUUGUGCAACCACUUGUGAUGCUGGAGACAACAGGAUGCAAUGUCAGAUCUAGUGUAUUUUGGACGUGUCGCUUUAAUAUUAGCAAGCAGUGACAUUUGCUGGUGCCAAUUGAUGAUGAAAUUUGAUUGACGUACUGAUUUUAAACUUUGCAAUGAUUGGCUAUCUUAUUCAUCUGAAUUUUUUUGUGCAUGCCAGGAGGAAGCUUGACAGCCUGGGUGCCCGAUCUCUCCAAGGUGGUGAGAUGGAGGCCUGCUCAUGUUGUUUUGCUGGUUGUUGCAGUUCCAGGGCCUCAAAGAGCACACCUCUUCCUCGCCAAACUUGUCAUGGAGUGCGGUGACGUUUAAUCGCCAAUGCCUCUUUUAUGUUGAAAUCUGUGCUUAAGUUAGAUUGAGAAAGAUUUUCAUGCUGGGUUGAUGUUGUUAGUCUGAGAUAAUGCUAAGGGCAGGGACUUCCUGCAUCUGCAUGAUUGUGUGUCAUUUGUGCUAUAAGCAAGCCUGGCUUGCUUGCUUUUGAACCAGCUACAUUAUAUGGAACGCAUCACCAAAGCAGCUCUAUUGUUGGUUGCUACUCACCCAGACUGCAAAAACCAAGUGAAAAGAACGCAUGCCAACCUGGCCUCGCUCUCAACUUCCUCUCAGGAGGCGCCACAUGUGGCGCCCCAACCGCUAGUCCACAUCAAGGUCGCUGCCGGGAUGAGAUGACCAAUCGUCGGCGUGGGCCCAGCAAACAGCGAUGCAUCGGAUCUAAACGUAGCAGCCACACUGACGAUGGGCGCCGCAUAUCUCAUCCAGAACGCCAUCUUCUUGACCCGGAGGGGCCAGCCGGCAGCACUGAUCGGCAUCUUAAAUGUCGAAUCUGGCCCCUGGGCAACGGCCGCCGCCAUGGCGCCUCGUCUGCCAGGCCAGAUCUUGGCGCAAGCAGCGCAUGGGGGCGCUUGUCCUGUCAUCCGGACAGCCACAGAGCACCGCCCAAAGCCGCCGCCGUCGGUGAGAAGUCACAAGUACGUGCAAAGCAAGCCCUCAACCAAGCACACAGGUUGAUUGAUUUGUUGCCAAGCAAUACAUGCACGUCUAGAAUCGAUUCGAUCUCUCCAGGUCUUCGUAGUCCCUGAAGAACAGCCAUAAGCAGGGGCCCCGCCGCCGCCGUCAGCCGCACGCCGGCAGCAUCCUCCAGCAACGGCGGAGGGAACGACGGGAGGAGAGGGAGUUAGGCGGGGCAACGCCGCCGCCGCCCGUGUCGCCCGGGAUGAGCGACGCGGGGGGCAGAGCGUGAUUUUUGGAGAGGUUUGUUACUCCUAAAUAAUUUGCCAACUUAACAUAAUUUGUGCUUGCGACACUGUACCAAUAUUUCAUAGCUACAUCUGAUCUUUCCCGCAGCGUGUGAAGUCAUCUAGUUUGGAAGAGGAUGUACCAAUUUGGAAGGACACGUAUUAACCAAGUUCAAAUAAAUGAUGCCACAUGCCCCUGUUGUACAUCAUGAGACUUUCAUUAUUUGAACCUUCCGAGUUCAGAUAUCUGACAAAUUUAUCCGAUAUAAAUGUUAUGAGCAAUCGAAUCAUGUGAAGGUAAAUCAUCUCUAUAAAUGCGACCACCGAUGGAUUGUGUGCUCUAUGAUUCAUGACUAGGACACAACCCAUGGACCCUCAACAGCUUUCUCUCCUAUACCAGCCCUUAGCAAAAUUAUUGCAAGAAAAAAGGGCGCUUGCUUGAGAAUAUGUGACAUCGGGAAUUGAGUGUUUAGUAUGCAUCGAUGAUCUUGUGCUGAUGCUUGGGCGUACAGGCAGGCGUACCUAGAUUGUCGAAGUCUACUUUCCCAGGCAAGACGCAGUUUUAGCAACAACCUUGACCACAACCAGCCUUGCCCAUCUGGGCAAGCAAACUGCGGUUCUUCGAGAACCUAGGACAGAACCACUUCCCGUCCAUGCACGCGAGAUAACUUAGUUCUGCAACACCCUCGACCUGAAGUACCUGCAGCACGGAUAGAGGCGGCCGUUGCGGACACGUCCACAACCGAUGUUGCUGAACUAUUACCUUGAGCAAGGGCCCUGAAGGAUAUCAAGUGCGUCUUGGUUUCAGGUAUUACCACAGAGGUGGCGGAGCUGAUGGCUUUAGUGCACAAUGUUGCUCGGUAAUGCCAUGAUCCACGACAGUCUUUUGUCUCCUCAUUGAUUCCCUUCCAGGCUUCCAGUGCAAACGCAGCUAACCAAUUUUUCUAAGGCCGAUGACCUCCAACCUACUCUAUGAACCUUCUUCCAGCUGACUAAACAUGCAACCUCCAUACAAUUUGUCUCUUCCGCAGAUUCAUAGAGAAAAUUCCAACGAAGAUCUUCAAUCUGCUUUAUCACCGAGAAGCCCAAACAGGUUAAUUUUAAUUAACGUAGAUAAAAAAAGGAUGGACGAGAGCACAGUGUUGACAAAACAUGAGCGGUCCGCUAGAAUUUGGUCACAAGUUUAUUCAUGGCAGGCUGCAGGUUGGCCUUUGUAAUGUUCUUGUAAUACAACAACAGCUCUAGAUAUAUCUAGGGGCAUUUGUAAACUAGGACGGAACCAGUCAAAAAUGGAAUAUUAUCUCUGUUAGACCAGCAUGACAAUUUAAUUUGAGUCUUGUUGAUUUUGUACACUAGAGUAUAAUUCACACAAUUGUUUCUUUGUGAUGGGAUCGUUGCAGGGUGGUAUUCCGUUUGUAAUGCAAGUACCCAAGAUG